rnacentral:ncRNA from 1 species
UUGAAAGGGGUGCCGUCAAGGCUGAGAUCAGACCCGUUGAACCUGACGCGGAUAAUGCCGCCGUAGGGAGUUUCACA